AUGCCCAACGCUCGUCUCUCUCGGGUCACAGAUCCACAGUUCGCUCGCGACGGCGAGCUAGCUCAGCUCAGCUCGCGCUCUAGCUCCAUGCAUGCUUGGAUCGAUGCGCUGAUGUUUACUGCAUUUUGGUUCGGAUUUCGCUUAUGUUUGUACGAUGAUGAGAUGAUGUUCGUGAGAUUAAACUCUGUUUGGUGCUCCCGUCGUGAGCUGUAUGAUGAUGAUCGAUGGCUUGAUGCUGUAUUGCUGUUGGCUGCUGUUGCCCAUUGUAAGAUGCAGUUCGGCGUUAUCUUGGAUUCUGUUGAAGCUAUAACCAGAUUGUAUGCUUCACGAUUUUUUGAUGAUUAUAGGGUCUGCCUACUUCAUGAUUGUUGA
rnacentral:rRNA from 1 species